CUUCACCGAGCCCAGCCACAGCGGGUGCCCGGCGUCCCGCUCCCGGCCGUACGUCGCCAGGAGCGCCUGGGCCUC
rnacentral:antisense_RNA from 1 species